AUUGAACGCUGGCGGCAUGCCUUACACAUGCGAGUCGAACGGUAACAGGUCUUCGGAUGCUGACGAGUGGCGAACGGGUGAGUAAUACAUCGGAACGUGCCUAGUAGUGGGGGAUAACUACUCGAAAGAGUGGCUAAUACCGCAUGAGAUCUACGGAUGAAAGCAGGGGAUCGCAAGACCUUGUGCUACUAGAGCGGCCGAUGGCAGAUUAGGUAGUUGGUGGGAUAAAAGCUUACCAAGCCGACUAUCUGUAGCUGGUCUGAGAGGACGAUCAGCCACACUGGGACUGAGACACGGACCAGACUCCUACGGGAGGCAGCAGUGGGGAAUUUUGGACAAUGGGCGAAAGCCUGAUCCAGCAAUGCCGCGUGCAGGAUGAAGGCCUUCGGGUUGUAAACUGCUUUUGUACGGAACGAAAAGCCCCGGGUUAAUACCCUGGGGUCAUGACGGUACCGUAAGAAUAAGCACCGGCUAACUACGUGCCAGCAGCCGCAGUAA
rnacentral:rRNA from 1 species